AUGAACGCUGGCGGCGUGCCUAAUACAUGCAAGUCGAGCGAACAGACGAGGAGCUUGCUCCUCUGACGUUAGCGGCGGACGGGUGAGUAACACGUGGAUAACCUACCUAUAAGACUGGGAUAACUUCGGGAAACCGGAGCUAAUACCGGAUAAUAUAUUGAACCGCAUGGUUCAAUAGUGAAAGACGGUUUUGCUGUCACUUAUAGAUGGAUCCGCGCCGCAUUAGCUAGUUGGUAAGGUAACGGCUUACCAAGGCAACGAUGCGUAGCCGACCUGAGAGGGUGAUCGGCCACACUGGAACUGAGACACGGUCCAGACUCCUACGGGAGGCAGCAGUAGGGAAUCUUCCGCAAUGGGCGAAAGCCUGACGGAGCAACGCCGCGUGAGUGAUGAAGGUCUUCGGAUCGUAAAACUCUUUUAUUAGGGAAGAACAAAUGUGUAAGUAACUAGGCACGUCUUGACGGUACCUAAUCAGAAAGCCCCGGCUAACUACGUG
rnacentral:rRNA from 1 species